rnacentral:rRNA from 1 species
AUUGAACGCUGGCGGCAGGCUUAACACAUGCAAGUCGAGCGGAGAUGAGGUGCUUGCACCUUAUCUUAGCGGCGGACGGGUGAGUAAUGCUUAGGAAUCUGCCUAUUAGUGGGGGACAACAUUCCGAAAGGAAUGCUAAUACCGCAUACGUCCUACGGGAGAAAGCAGGGGAUCUUCGGACCUUGCGCUAAUAGAUGAGCCUAAGUCGGAUUAGCUAGUUGGUGAGGUAACGGCUCACCAAGGCGACGAUCCGUAACUGGUCUGAGAGGAUGAUCAGGCACACUGGAACUGAGAAACGGCCCAGACUCCUACGGGAGGCAGCAGUGGGGAAUAUUGGACAAUGGGCGGAAGCCUGAUCCAGCCAUGCCGCGUGUGUGAAGAAGGCCUUUUGGUUGUAAAGCACUUUAAGCGAGGAGGAGGCUCUCCUAGUUAAUACCUAGGAAGAGUGGACGUUACUCGCAGAAUAAGCACCGGCUAACUCUGUGCCAGCAGCCGCCGUAAUAC